GAUGAACGCUAGCUACAGGCCUAACACAUGCAAGUCGAGCGACCGGCGCACGUGUGGGUAAUACGUAUCCAACCUGCCCUUUACUCGGUGAUAGCCUUUCGCAAGAACGAUUAAUACCCGAUAUAACGGAUGGGGAUGCGUUCCAUUAGGUUGUCGGUGAGGUAACGGCCCACCAAGCCUUCGAUGGCUAGGCGUUCUGAUGGGAAGGUCCACCACGUUGGAACUGAGACACAGACCAAACUCCUACGGGAGGCAGCAGUGAGGUGUAGUGGUGAAUGGGCGUUAGCCUGAACCAGCCAAGUAGCGUGAAGGAUGAAGGCUUAUGGGACGUAAACUUCUUUUAUAUAAGAAUAUGUAUUAUAUGAAUAAGGAGCGGCUAACUCCGUGCCAGCAGCCGCGGUAAUAC
rnacentral:rRNA from 1 species